UUUCACAUACUGAAAAAUAUAUUUUUGAAUGAAAACCAGUUCUUGUAUCUGUGAGUUGUAGACAAACAUUCAGCUCAUCUCAGUAUCUGCCAGUUCAAUGGCAGAAUGAACUCUAAUACUAAGUGUAACAACACUGUGGCAGACAAUUCCAUUAAAGACAAUAAUGCAUAUGUUUUAGAUGUUUGCAUACAUUGGCAGAAUUUGGCAUAUGCCUGUCCUAUCAGCCAGAGGUGGAAAAAGGACUGGAAAAAGGACAACAGAACUAAUUUUGUCAAGGACACAAGAGUAAUGUAUUUAGACAUAAUUUAAAAGAUUUGAAUGAUAUUAAUCCAAGCAGAGGACAGUUAAAUAUAAUAAAAGUAAAAACCCUGAAAAAUGAGUGUAAGAACUCAUUUAGUCUUUUUACUGAAACUACAACAGGCUGACUUACCAUAAGCUAAAAAAGAUGUCAUUGAAUUAUCAGCAUUUACCAGUUAUUAUUUGUGGUUUCCAAGAUGCUCCUGCCUCUCACCAUAUUCUGAAUGACUACAUUCAACUCCACAUGUAAUGAAGUUUGAAGUCUCAGACUAAUAAAAAAAAUAAAAAAUAACAGAUAUAUCUUACUAAAGUAGUGAGAAAUCCUGUUCAACUCAGGGGGUCUAAUUGUAGGAAUGAAGGACAUCAGAUCUGUCUCUAAAAAUAUACUGUGCAAAAUGGAAGAUUAGAGAACACAGUUUGCUAAAAGGACUACGUCAGGUCAUUUCAGUGGUGGUGUUCUCUGGGGUAUAGUCUGUGUACCAGUAAAAAUCUCCAUGAUUUUUAGUAAUUCUAUUAAAGUAGCACAUCACCUCCAAAUAUUGAUAAAGAUUGGGCAGAUUCACUUCAGGAUGAACCCUGCAUACACACAUAUUUUCUGAAAUGUAAAUAGUUGGCACCUGCUGAGCCAUAAUCCCUAAAUCAGAAACACAAAUGUUUGGAUUAAUAAAAAAAUGGAAAGCCUCAUUCUUUCUUGUUGUCUUCUGAAUGCACAUUUUUUCACUUUCAGUGUUAUGUGUAUGACUGGCAUGUUUUAUCCAGGACUAGAAAUUCAGCAUGGCUAUUUGCUGUAGUAACCACAAAGGACAGAGGUGAUAAAAUGCAAGCUAAUCCAAAACUUUCAAUGACUUACAUGGGUUUUAAAAUCAAGCCUUAAAUUCAAUACUACAGAUAUGAUGCAGUGUGAAACAACUGAGAUUUGACACUCUUAAGAAUGAAAAUUAAAGGAUAAAUAUUUUAUCUCUUUAAAGAAGUAGUUCACUGUGAUACAUGAAAAAGUUGAAAAAAUGUGAAACUUAAACAUAUGUGUACUAUUAUUGAAAUCUGUUUGAUUUUUUGCAUGCAUAAAGUUUUAGCAUUCUACUGCAUCCAAGACUAAAUUUUCAGUAACGUUUGGGUUUUUAGCACAUGCCUGAAACUGCUGUCUUUCAUAUUUGAAGUGCAUAGGUAAGGAAUAGAGACUGCAGACAUACAGAUUAAUCCACUGUACAAACUAAAGCUAUGAUUACAAGCAAACUGCUUAAACUCUGAUGCAGUUUGAAGGAAGAAAGUUUGAAAUCUUUUACCAACACUGUUUAUUAUUGGACAGGAUUGUGAUGUUUUAUUUGUUUUUGUUUUGUUCUGUUUUGUUUUGGGGGGAUUCAAUACAGAAAUUGGAGGAGUGUGUUGGACUGCAGCUGGUGGUGCUAAUUACCUGGGGCAAAGGAAGUUGUCUUUCCAUUAUGUUUUGUGCUGUUUUUCAGACCUUAUGGAUCCCAGAAGGUGAACCCAUAAUCAAGUCUUUACUGGGGGCUUCUUGGCAAGGCUAUCUCCAGCCACUGUUCCUGGCCUCAUAUAAGGUGUUCUAGAAAGGGGUUCCUCCAGCCGUUCAUCAGGACAAGGAACCAAGUGCUCCAGAAUGUAAUUUCACCAGACAUCACUUUAACCCAGAUAUAAAGGAAAGUGACUGAUGCCAUGUUAAAUGACAUGCUGUGUAGAUCUCAUCUGUUGAAGACCACUUCUGUACCUCUAGAAGGAGAAAAAGCUAUUUCCAGUUGUUACAACUUUUAACAUUCAUAAUGUGAAAUAAUCUGUAUAUUGAAAUCAUUCAAGG
ensembl:lncRNA